AUUGAACGCUGGCGGCAUGCCUUACACAUGCAAGUCGAACGGCAGCACGGGUGCUUGCACCUGGUGGCGAGUGGCGAACGGGUGAGUAAUACAUCGGAACGUACCUUAUCGUGGGGGAUAACGCAGCGAAAGCUGUGCUAAUACCGCAUACGCCCUGAGGGGGAAAGGGGGGGAUGGCAAGACCUCGCGCGAUUAGAGCGGCCGAUGCCUGAUUAGCUUGUUGGUGGGUUAAAAGCCCACCAAGGCGACGAUCAGUAGCUGGUCUGAGAGGACGAUCAGCCACAGUGGGACUGAGACACGGCCCAGACUCCUACGGGAGGCAGCAGUGGGGAAUUUUGGACAAUGGGGGCAACCCUGAUCCAGCAAUGCCGCGUGAGUGAAGAAGGCCUUCGGGUUGUAAAGCUCUUUUGUCAGGGAAGAAACACCGGCUCUAACACAGUCCGGGAAUGACGGUACCUGAAGAGUAAGCACCGGCUAACUACGUGCCAGCCGCCGCGGUAA
rnacentral:rRNA from 1 species